rnacentral:rRNA from 1 species
UAGUCCACGCCGUAAACGAUGUCAACUAGCCGUUGGGUCCAUUUAAGGGCUUAGUGGCGCAGCUAACGCGAUAAGUUGACCGCCUGGGGAGUACGCCGGCAACGGUAAAACUCAAAUGAAUUGACGGGGGCCCGCACAAGCGGUGGAGCAUGUGGUUUAGUUCGAUGAUACGCGAGGAACCUUACCCGGGCUUAAAUGUAGAUUGCAUGUUUCAGAGAUGAACUUUCCUUCGGGACUAUCUACAAGGUGCUGCAUGGUUGUCGUCAGCUCGUGCCGUGAGGUGUCGGGUUAAGUCCCAUAACGAGCGCAACCCCUAUCGUUAGUUACCAUCAGGUUAUGCUGGGGACUCUAGCGAGACUGCCACCGUAAGGUGAGAGGAAGGUGGGGAUGACGUCAAAUCAGCACGGCCCUUAUGUCCGGGGCUACACACGUGUUACAAUGGUAGGGACAGAGGGCUGCGGUCUGGUGACAGAUAGCUAAUCCCUAAACCCUAUCCCAGUUCGGAUUGGAGUCUGCAACUCGA